rnacentral:lncRNA from 1 species
GUCGAGUGCCUUUGAUAUUGGUCAUCGAAAUGCUUAUUUGACGUAUAAAAUUAUUUUUUUUCUUGAUCCCAUUGUAAUGGUUCAUUGAUUAAUUAUUGGGUGAUGUGUCUAUGUGUCUAUAAGGGUUUAAAUAACAAUGACCCACUUUUCACACGACAUUAAUAAUUUUGAAUUUAUCAUUCUUGUAUUAAGACAAUGAAUUUAAAUUUG